AUUGAACGCUGGCGGCAGGCCUAACACAUGCAAGUCGAGCGGAUGAAGGGAGCUUGCUCCUGGAUUCAGCGGCGGACGGGUGAGUAAUGCCUAGGAAUCUGCCUGGUAGUGGGGGAUAACGUCCGGAAACGGGCGCUAAUACCGCAUACGUCCUGAGGGAGAAAGUGGGGGAUCUUCGGACCUCACGCUAUCAGAUGAGCCUAGGUCGGAUUAGCUAGUUGGUGGGGUAAAGGCCUACCAAGGCGACGAUCCGUAACUGGUCUGAGAGGAUGAUCAGUCACACUGGAACUGAGACACGGUCCAGACUCCUACGGGAGGCAGCAGUGGGGAAUAUUGGACAAUGGGCGAAAGCCUGAUCCAGCCAUGCCGCGUGUGAAGAAGGUCUUCGGAUUGUAAAGCCCUUUAAGUUGGGAGGAAGGGCAGUAAGUUAAUACCUUGCUGUUUUGACGUUACCAGCAGAAUAAGCACCGGCUAACUUCGUG
rnacentral:rRNA from 1 species